rnacentral:lncRNA from 1 species
UCUUAUAUUGGGUUUGCGGUUGCAUGCAGCAUGCCUCCUACAGUGCUUUUUCUGCAAGUGAUCAUGUUGAUGCUCCAAUGCUGGAGUGAUUGAAAUCAGGUGCUCUUGGCUUGCAUUGAUUGUGUGUUUAACUGAUUCCUCACAACAAUAAGGACUUAGUGAUUCCUUGUGACAGUCUUCUUUCUCGCAAUUGCUGUGCAUCCUUAAUUCCUCUGCCUCAUUGCUGUCAUGGCAACUAUGUUCAUCUAGGCAACUCGAACUGUUUAAUUGUCCACAAGUGCUUGUGGAUCUGCAUGCACCUUUGGCACAGUGGUCUACACAUGUAGGCCUUUGCACAAGCGAUUUGUGC